GAUGAACGCUAGCGGCAGGCUUAACACAUGCAAGUCGAGGGGUAUAGGUUUUCGGACCUAGAGACCGGCGCACGGGUGCGUAACGCGUAUGCAAUCUACCUUUCACAGAGGGAUAGCCCAGAGAAAUUUGGAUUAAUACCUCAUAGUAUUAUGAAGUGGCAUCAUUUUAUAAUUAAAGUUCCAACGGUGAAAGAUGAGCAUGCGUCCCAUUAGCUAGAUGGUAAGGUAACGGCUUACCAUGGCGACGAUGGGUAGGGGUCCUGAGAGGGAGAUCCCCCACACUGGUACUGAGACACGGACCAGACUCCUACGGGAGGCAGCAGUGAGGAAUAUUGGUCAAUGGACGCAAGUCUGAACCAGCCAUGCCGUGUGCAGGAUGACGGUCCUAUGGAUUGUAAACUGCUUUUGUACGAGAAGAAACACUCCUUCGUGAAGGAGCUUGACGGUAUCGUAAGAAUAAGGAUCGGCUAACUCCGUGCCAGCCGCCGCCGUAA
rnacentral:rRNA from 1 species